CAGGGAGACAAAAACUGAUCGUGAUGUCUAAGUGAUUUAUUCUUAGGCCAUGAUCCUGUCACCUUAGGUCGAUCGGUACCUCAGUUUUAUUGUCUAAACUACUGAAUUUAUAUUCAGUGAGAUUGGCAUUUAAAUUCAGUUCCUAAACUUGUCUAGGUCACACCCAGCAAGGGUACUCCUGGGCCAUUAGCUCAGGUGGUUAGAGCGCACCCCUGAUAAGGGUGAGGUCCCUGGUUCAAGUCCAGGAUGGCCCAUUCGGUGUUGGGGGUAUAGCUCAGUUGGUAGAGCGCCUGCUUUGCAAGCAGGAUGUCAGCGGUUCGAGUCCGCUUACCUCCACUGAUCAACCCUCUUGUAACGAAAUCAGGAGAUUUUCGUUGCUGAUGUGAUUUAGAUUUUGUCCUCUGAAUGAACCUAGCUUCUUAUCAUUCUGAUUCUAAAUACUUUAGAAAAGCUGAUAGGACGCUGGGCUCACUGUAAUCAAAUUAUUGAUUACAGAUAAGUUCAGUAGAACCUUGACAACUGCAUAGGUGAGUCUGGAAAGAAAAAAGCAUCUCAUAGAUGCAUUUUCCUUGAUUUAAAAUUAAGAGAAUUGUUUUACAUCUCUCUUAUAUACAUUUCAUGUGAGAAUGUUUGAUUCUUGAGUAAGAGCCGAGACUCUUUAGUUUGUAUAAAUUAAAGAGAUUAUU
rnacentral:tRNA from 1 species